GACGAACGCUGGCGGCGUGCCUAACACAUGCAAGUCGAACGGAGAUAUGAUUUCGGUUGUAUCUUAGUGGCGAACGGGUGAGUAACGCGUGAGCAACCUGACUCCUAGAGGGGGAUAACACUCGGAAACGGGUGCUAAUACCGCAUAAGACCACGACAUGGCAUCAUGACGAGGUCAAAGGAGCAAUCCGCUGAGAGAGGGGCUCGCGUCCCAUUAGAUAGAUGGCGGGGUAACGGCCCACCAUGUCAACGAUGGGUAGCCGAGCUGAGAGGCUGAUCGGCCACACUGGAACUGAGACACGGUCCAGACUCCUACGGGAGGCAGCAGUGGGGAAUAUUGGGCAAUGGGCGCAAGCCUGACCCAGCAACGCCGCGUGAGGGAAGAAGGCUUUCGGGUUGUAAACCUCUGUCCUUGGUGACGAAAAAAUGACGGUAGCCAAGGAGGAAGCCCGGCUAACUACGUG
rnacentral:rRNA from 1 species